UCCGUAGGUGGCAAGCGUUGUCCGGAAUUAUUGGGCGUAAAGCGCGCGCAGGCGGUUAUGUAAGUCUGAUGUUAAAGCCCGGGGCUCAACCUCGGUUCGCAUUGGAAACUGUGUAACUUGAGUGCAGAAGAGGAAAGUGGUAUUCCACGUGUAGCGGUGAAAUGCGUAGAUAUGUGGAGGAACACCAGUGGCGAAGGCGACUUUCUGGUCUGUAACUGACGCUGAGGCGCGAAAGCGUGGGGAGAAAACAGG
rnacentral:rRNA from 1 species